AGUUGAAUGCCCAAGCUAGUGCCGCAUGGUCAGUGAAGACGUUGAAGGCUCUACCCUCUAGGUAAUGUCUCCACUUUUCAACAGCCCACACCACUGCCAGACAUUCCUUUUCAGAAGUGCUGUAAUUCUUCUCUGCUCCAGUUAAGGUCCGUGAUGCAUAAGCCACCACCUUUUCUCCCUCCUCUGAUUGUUGAGUGAGGAUGGCGCCCAGUCCUACCUCACUAGCAUCCGUGUGAACCUGGAAGUCUUUAGUGCUGUCUGGUUGUAUUAACACCGGUGGUUUAAAGGGGCAGCGAUGUCAGCGAAAUGGGGUAUAAACUUAUGAUACCACCCUGCCAAUCCCAGAAAUCUUUGCAAAGCUUUGAUAUCGUGUGGGAUUGGGAACUCUGCAACAGCACUGGUCUUUUCUCGGUCAAUCUCCACUCCCCUCUCAGAGACUAUAUGGCCGAGGAAUUUGAGCUGUCGCUUGAAGAAGUGGCAUUUCUUCAUGUUCAACGUCAGACAGAACUCUCUCCAUCAGACGCUGGAAGUAUCCAGACUGCAGAUCCAAGGAACUAAACCAAGAGGCUCCUUCCA